ACACAUGCAGGUCGAACGAAGCAAUUAAGAUGAAGUUUUCGGAUGGAAUCUUGAUUGACUGAGUGGCGGACGGGUGAGUAACGCGUGGAUAACCUGCCUCACACUGGGGGAUAACAGUUAGAAAUGACUGCUAAUACCGCAUAAGCGCACAGUGCCGCAUGGCAGUGUGUGAAAAACUCCGGUGGUGUGAGAUGGAUCCGCGUCUGAUUAGCCAGUUGGCGGGGUAACGGCCCACCAAAGCGACGAUCAGUAGCCGACCUGAGAGGGUGACCGGCCACAUUGGGACUGAGACACGGCCCAAACUCCUACGGGAGGCAGCAGUGGGGAAUAUUGCACAAUGGGCGAAAGCCUGAUGCAGCGACGCCGCGUGAGUGAAGAAGUAUUUCGGUAUGUAAAGCUCUAUCAGCAGGGAAGAAAAUGACGGUACCUGACUAAGAAGCCCCGGCUAACUACGUGCCAGCAGCCGCGGUAAUACGUAGGGGGCAAGCGUUAUCCGGAUUUACUGGGUGUAAAGGGAGCGUAGACGGCGAAGCAAGUCUGAAGUGAAAACCCAGGGCUCAACCCUGGGACUGCUUUGGAAACUGUUUUGCUAGAGUGUCGGAGAGGUAAGUGGAAUUCCUAGUGUAGCGGUGAAAUGCGUAGAUAUUAGGAGGAACACCAGUGGC
rnacentral:rRNA from 1 species